rnacentral:lncRNA from 1 species
AAUGGAGAACAAAUCAAUGAAUUUACGUCAAAUUCUAGACUAUAUCGGCGACAGGAAACGUUGUCUUGUAGAAGGUGAAGCCGUUUUGGAUAUAUGAGACGCACACACACACAACAUAAUGUGUGCUACAAACUUUUGACUGACCUAUGUUGUAUAAGUGUUGAAUGACUCAGCCAGGUAACCUUCAGAUUGGCACUAAUUUUAACUAUUAUGAUAAAUAAAACUAUGUUUUUAUAUUUGAACAUGGUGUAUACAGUUUAAAAUAUUUAAAUACUUCUCACCUGUUAACGUGUAAUAAUCAUGCUAUCACAUGUUUACAAAAACCAGACAGCCCCGCAUUGCACGUGCAUUCUCCCUGUAAUUAAGAUGUAUUAAAAUGCCAAUACUGUAUUUGAGAUUGCAACACUAAAGCAACAUGAACUUUGGUGUUGUUGUUAGAGUUUAAUCCACAAAAUACGAUGUGUCCAGCAUCCAAAACGGCUUCACCUUCUACAAGACAACGUUUCCUGUCGCCGUUAGUCUAGAAUUUGACAUAAAUUCAAUGAUUUGUUCUCAAUUUGGUCCUCGCAGUAGUCGUCACCGACGGAAACUAAAUCGGCUCAGGCACUGAACAAGCACGUGGUCGUUCCCUUAUCCUGUUUCGGCAGCCAUCUUGGCUCAAAAACAGCGCCAUCUGUCGGAUUUGGCGCUUGCCUAUACCAACUCCUAGAAGGUGUCGGCAUUCCGAGAGAAGAAGAAGGUUAACAUAUUCCUUUAUUUUAUCAGAAGAAUCAUUGCCAGAAGACAUCUUGGCUCAUCGAAGGGCGAUUCGAAUCUUUUAGAUUUAAAUACAGAACUGCGAAUGAAGAUGUUGGAGUGGUUCCGCAGGAGGUUCUGAUGGAAGAAGGCGAUGGUUGCGGAGGGUGUUCCUCCGACAGCACGAAACGAGUCUGUCAGACUGACUGUGCCGGAAGAGACAUUGGAACACCGGAGGCUCAAGCAAGAGACAGCGGGUGAAGACCUUCCUUGAGUGCGUGUGGCAUGGCACUCUUCCGGAUUCGAGAUUAUGCAAUGCUACACUGUGGGUCUGUCGCACUUGGCCAAGGUCUUUGGGGGUCAACCGGCCUCAGACCUUGUUGUGGAGAAUGUAAGGAGUGACAGCUCAUUCGAGUUAUCACUUCCUGUUUUCUCGCACUUUGCCUCUUCAUCCGCCACUGUCUUGCAGAAGUCAGAAUGGGGAGGAAUCUGAGGAGAGAGCCGCCGAAGUCUCGGGACCGUGGUUUUGAACCAAGCCUGUGAUCGCAUCUAUCGUCUCGGCCAAAAGAAGAAAGUCUUCAUUUAUAAGUGAAAAUACUAUUGAAGAGAAGAUUGUGUCAUUUCAAAAAGACAAAAUGAAUCUAGCAAAUAACAUAUUAAGCACAAACAGCAAAAGUCAAAUAACUUUAAAAGAUUUUCAUGAGUUACUUCAGAUUUAAUGUAUGAGUCCAGUUAGUUUUGAGACUUCCAUAGAAUGUUUUCUUGCAUUCUGAUGAAUUUAUUUAACUGAACGUUCAAAGAUUUCUGUGAUACAUAUCUGUCUUAUAUGACUGUGAUAAAUUAUUUUUUAAUCCAAAAAAAGAAUAAUUUUUGGUUAUCAAAUAUUCGAAAACCAUAAUCAGCUGAACCGUUGGAAAUAUCAUUUUGAAAUAUUCGAUAUUGAAAUUUAAAAAACCGUCGGAAUAUCGUUUGGAAAACCUAAACUAUCAAAUUCUGUGUACCGCCUGAUGAUGGUAGUUUUACACUACUGAAAGUGCUAGCGGAAAAAACCUUUCUCCAAAAGUUGGAUAAAUUUCCAUAUCCGGAACUCCACUCCUGUAACGCCACUGC